rnacentral:rRNA from 1 species
AACGAACGCUGGCGGCAUGCCUAACACAUGCAAGUCGAACGAGACCUUCGGGUCUAGUGGCGCACGGGUGCGUAACGCGUGGGAACCUGCCCUUAGGUUCGGAAUAACUCCCCGAAAGGGGUGCUAAUACCGGAUAAUGUCUUCGGACCAAAGAUUUAUCGCCUUUGGAUGGGCCCGCGUUGGAUUAGCUAGUUGGUAGGGUAAAAGCCUACCAAGGCGACGAUCCAUAGCUGGUCUGAGAGGAUGAUCAGCCACACUGGGGCUGAGACACGGCCCAGACUCCUACGGGAGGCAGCAGUGGGGAAUAUUGGACAAUGGGCGAAAGCCUGAUCCAGCAAUGCCGCGUGAGUGAUGAAGGCCUUAGGGUUGUAAAGCUCUUUUACCCGGGAUGAUAAUGACAGUACCGGGAGAAUAAGCUCCGGCUAACUCAGUG